rnacentral:lncRNA from 1 species
AUUGGUUAUGGCAAAGAGCAAGAGGGCAGCAGGAACUCGAAGCUGGCUUGACCCACUCACUGAGGGAGGGUCUUGGGAAAACCAGACCAACUGAGAGUCAUCAAAAGUUGGCAUUCUCAAUUCUCAAUCCAAGAAAUAGAACUCACAGCUGCAAGGAGGGCCCCCACAUACUUCACACACCAAACUAGGGUGUGAAGUGGGAGUUGGCAGGAGACCCA